UCUGUAUUAGCUGGAGGUUAGGUUGAGUGCUCUCAAGGGUCUCCUCAAACUGGGAGACCAUCUAGUUUUAUUCACAUGAAACUCUUCAUUUUGCAGGAAUUUCUUAAGCUUGGAAUGUAUGCUUCGGAAGAAAUUAUAAAAGGCUACUAAAGAUACUCAGGACAGCUGUAAAAGGAAGGCCUCAGUUGGUGCUUUGACAUGCUGAACUGAAGAAGCCUCAGGUUCUCUCAGACCUCCUCUCAGCCCUCCUCCCUCCCAGACCACAGCAUGAAGAUGUUCUCAGAAGUUCCCUUAUCUGCCUAAAGCCUCUACCCACCAAAAAAGAAAGCAAUUACCCCUGGUCCCUUCUCUCAGUUUUCACUGCCUGCGUACUGCAGGAAGAGAGACUGAAGUCCAUCAACGCACCUGGACAGACUUUGUCACAGACCACUGUCUGCUCUGCAAAUCCACAGAUUUUGUGCCAAGGCAUUGUAUGUUCUGCAAGUCCACUGAAUUUUCUGAAGAAUAAUUUACUGCCCCCGCCCUCAGAAAUCAUCCACACCUCCCAUCUCCUUUUCCCCUAAGAAGGAGGUAUAGCCAUCUGUAUCCUGUUGUGGUAGGGUAAUUACUCUGUGAUCCUCCUCUGUGUACAUUAACAUUUGCAUGCCUUUUCUCCCAGUAAUCUGCCUUUGUCAGCUGAAUUUUAGAAACCUUCAAAGAGUGAAGAAAGGUUUUUCCUUGGCCCCUACACCCUCAAAAUGCAAUUUUCAUGAGGCUAGAGAUGUUGUUUAUAUUGUUUCCAUUUUAUUCCAGCAACCAAGUGGAAAUAAGCACAUAGCAAGAACCCAAUAAAUAUUUGCUGAACAAAUGAAUGAAGUAUUUCCUCACGGUUAUUCUGAAUUAUUGCAUUGCUGGUAGGGAGUUGGGCUGGGGAAUACAAAGAGAUGUAAAAUGCUGGAGCUGUUCACAUAUC